UCCCACUAUUUUACUAACGAGUCACACGACACCCUCAGCACGUGAAACGGAAGUCUCCGGCAGACUUCUAGUGGGGAUCAGGAUCCAAUCAAUGUCUUAGUGUAACCUCGAGGGACUCGACCAAUCACACUAAGCCUAAAAGGUAGGCAACUCUUGCCGAUCACAACUCCUUAUGAUUCCCGUCCUGUUCGGCCUCCGAAUCA
rnacentral:lncRNA from 1 species